UCCCAGACUCCUACGGGAGGCAGCAGUGGGGAAUAUUGCACAAUGGGGGAAACCCUGAUGCAGCGACGCCGCGUGAGCGAUGAAGUAUUUCGGUAUGUAAAGCUCUAUCAGCAGGGAAGAAAAUGACGGUACCUGACUAAGAAGCCCCGGCUAACUACGUGCCAGCAGCCGCGGUAAUACGUAGGGGGCAAGCGUUAUCCGAAUUUACUGGGUGUAAAGGGGGCGCAGACGGCGAUGCAAGCCAGGAGUGAAAGCCCGGGGCCCAACCCCGGGACUGCUCUUGGAACUGCGUGGCUGGAGUGCAGGAGGGGCAGGCGGAAUUCCUGGUGUAGCGGUGAAAUGCGUAGAUAUCAGGAGGAACACCGGUGGCGAAGGCGGCCUGCUGGACUGCAACUGACGUUGAGGCCCGAAAGCGUGGGGAGCAAACAGGAUUAGAUACCCCCGUAC
rnacentral:rRNA from 1 species